rnacentral:rRNA from 1 species
UAAACUAGGAUUAGAUACCCUAUUAUUAUAAAUGUAAAUUUUAAGUACUAAAUUAGUAUUAGUUAUUUUCUUGAAAAUUAAAAAAUUUGGCGGUAUUUUAGUCUUUUCAGAGGAACUUGCCCUGUAAUCGAUAGUCCACGAUUAUACAUACUUUUGUUUUAAGUUUACAUAUCGUCGUAGAUUGAGUAUUUUAAUAGAAUUUUAAUAUUCAUAAUUUUUUAUUAAAAAAUAAAUCAGAUCAAGGUGUAGCUUAUAUUUAAGAAGAGGUGGGUUACAUUUAAUUUAUUUAAGGAUAAUUUUUUUUAAAAAAGUUUGAAUAUGGAUUUGAUAGUAAUUAAAUAUAUUUAUUUAAAAUGAUUAUAGCUCUAAAAUAUGUACACAUCGCCCGUCGCUCUUAA